AAUAGGUCAAGAGGGACUGUGUAUGUGAGCAGUGUGUGUGUGUGUGUGUGUGUGAGAGAGAGAGAGAGAGAGAGAGAGAGAGAGAGAGAGAGAAGGAGAGUUUGGCUGAUGCUGGAUGCUGGUGAGUCAAAAUAAACAUUUGCUCUGUGCUGGACUUUGGGCCUCUCCUGGAAGCAAGCAAGAUCUGUUGGAAGGUUAACAAGUCUUGCAGUCAAAGAGGAUGCUCCCAGAUUGCAUGGGACAAAACUGGGCAGCGGUUUGAGGAGAAGACCUGAGAGGCAGGAUGACUGCAGAGGAUGCUUAUUUAGGAGAACUGGCGUUGCAGGGUCAGCCGAGCAAUGGAGACCUGUGAGGGGGAGCCCAGCCUGUAAAGGAGACCUCUGGGUAUAGGGUGGUAUAUAAAUUCUAUUAUUAUUAUUAUUAAUAAUAAUAAAAAUAAUAAGGUGAAAAGGGAAGGGAGCCUGACAGAGUGAGUUGCUUUGGCCAGAGAAGUGAGUCCCCCCCAGGCAUCCACCAGCCUCUCUAAUCAGUGCCACUAGCUCCGAGGGGAGGAAAACUCCGGCUGGUGCUCUCAUGUAGCAUUAAAAAGGACAAGCAGUCUGUCAGGGGGAGAGAGGCCUUGGUGGGGGGAUUGCCCCCCUCCCCCUGAUCAUAAAGACAGCGGCAUUGCAGCCUGCUUUAUGUGGAGUAGUGAUGUCAGCCAAGGAGGAUUUCUUCUUAGGCUAUGGGGCUAAUCCACAGUGUCACUUCCCUAUGUAAGAAAGGAUGGGCUUUUCUUCUUCCUGACAGCGAGGGAGGGAGAUAGGCUUGCUUAUUCAUUUAUGCUCUUUUCCAAUGAAAAUGAAAAAAAUACAUAAGUGCUGCAAAUGAGCUGCUUGGAGCCAUUAGGAAGCCUCUCUUUGAAGAGUUGGCCUGAAUAUCUCUGGAAACUCAACUUGCUGGCGCCAGGGUGCCCAAAGAGGCGGCUGCCAUUUUCUGGUGAUGGCAGCAGAGCUGUGGGAGUUGAAGAAUCUCCUUGUCCUCCCUCUGCCCUUCACCCUAAAAAAGAAAAAAUAUAAUAUGCUUGGGACCCAGCUAUCUGGAAGUCCACUUGCUCCCUUAUAGACCUGCCCAGCCCCUGGAGGCACUGGGGGAUGAUCUUCUCGUGGUGCCGCAGUUCUCUCAGGUACAGCAUGUGGUGACUCGUGAGAGGGUGUUCUCAAUAGUAACAAGCACAUCAACUAUGGAAUGCCCUCUCCUUUCAGGUGUGAGCAGCACCACCAUUGAUGACAAUUAACCACCAAGGAUUUGACUAAGAUGGUGCCCCUGGCUUGGUUGAUGCAGUUAUAUUGCUAGUACACUGUCUGUUUUUACACUGAAUUGAAUUUACACUUAUUUAUUUCAUUUAUUUAUUUCAUAAAAUUUAUACAAUGCCUGAUUGUAGAAAGAAAACCUCAAAGCAGUAUACCAAAAGAUAAAAUAAGAAAAGCAAGAAAGAUUUACAGCCAUACUUUUAAAAACGCAGAAAAGUUAUUACUAAAACAGAUUAAAAUUACCUCAGCUUUCUAAGCAUGUGGGUAGCCUUGUCUAAACAAGAAUGUUUCAGCAGGCACCAGGAAGGGUAAAGUGAAGGUACAGUGGUACCUCGCAAGACGAAUGCCUCGCAGGACGGAAAACUCGCAAAACGAAAGGGUUUUUGGUUUUUUGAGUUGCUUCGCAAGACGAUUUUCCCUAUGGGCUUGCUUCGCAAGACGGAAACUUCUUGCAAGUUUGUUUCCUUUUCUUAAAACCGUUAAUACAGUUGUGACUUGACUUCGAGGAGCAACUCAUAGCACUCGGUGUGGUAGCCUUUUAUGAGGUUUUUGAAGACUUUGGUGAUUUUUGAAGCUUUUCCAAAACUUUUCCGACACCGUGCUUCGCAAGACGAAAAAAACCGCAAGACGAAAAAACUCGCGGAACGAAUUAAUUUCGUCUUGCGAGGCACCACUGUACCUGCUGGAUUUCAACAGGCAAGGAGUUCCAAAGUGAAAUACAAUUUUCUUGUAUUGUUUUCAUGUUUGUUUUUGCUCUAGAAUGGUGUAAACCAGGCUUCCUCAACCUCAGCCCUCCAGAUGUUUUGAGACUACAGUUCCCAUCAUCCCUGACCACUGGUCCUGCUAGCUAGGGAUCAUGGGAGUUGUAGGCCAAAGACAUCUGGAGGGCUGAGGUUGAGGAAGCCUGGUGUAAACAGUGAGUAGCAUAUUAUCUUUUUUCUUUUUUAGGGUGAAGGGCAGAGGGAGGACAAGGAGAUUCUUCAACUCCCACAGCUCUGCUGCCAUCACCAGAAAAUGGCAGCCGCCUCUUUGGGCACCCUGGCUCCAGCAAGUUGAGUUUCCAGAGAUAUUCAGGCCAACUCUUCAAAGAGAGGCUUCCUAAUGGCUCCAAGCAGCCCAGAAGAUUUUUUUUUAAAAUUAUUUUUAUUCAAUUUCCAAUACAAAAUUUAAACAUACAUUUUCAAUAUUAUCACAGAUACGUAAUUUUGACUUCCUUCAGCUCAUCCGCGAAUCUUCCAUUUUCUAAUCUUCUAUCCGCAAUUCUAAAUUUAACAUUGCCUUUUAUUUUAAAUAAACCUAUUCCCUUAUUCCAUUUUUUACAGUGUUUCUAAUAUUCUGGACCCAGAAGAUUGACCUGGGGACUGAGAUGAGGCUGUGGGCACUUGGGACAUCUUCAAGGCAGUGGAGUGAAAACUUUCCCCAGAAGAAAAUGGACACACUUGAGCCCUUCUGCUGAUCAUAGGUGCCUGCGAAAGGAUUAAUUGUAGUGUUGUGGGUCUGAGGGUGGAUCUGAUUACACAGAUGGAUGAACUUGUCAAUUAUUAUUUUCCUCAGUUUUUCGUUUUUCUUCUCUGAAAUUCUCAACCCAUUUCUGCAUCAGUUUGGGUUUUGCUCCCCUGCACAUAUUUGCAGACAAUGUUUCCUUAACAUAUUGCAUUUUUAGUAUGUUAGUUUCACAAACAUAUGCAUUUGUGUUUGUUAAUCUCCCCCAACAUAUGUUUUCUGGCAUGCAUUUCUUGGUUGGAGAACUGUGUUGCAAUAUUCAGGGAACUGCAAAUUUCAAAGGGUAUCUUUUGGCUGGCGUACUAGUUUGCCUAAAAAUGUGAACUGAAGUUCUUGUCUCACAUCCCAAAUGUCUGAAUGAGAAGAGGAUCUCUUCUAACCCAGUGACUUUUGACUGUAAAAUAUCUAGAUGCAGCAAGAGUGUGGGAACUGCACUGACAAUUAAGUGCCCAGGGAUGCCCAGUGUUAGCUUGUGGUUAUUAUUUCAGUUUGUACCCUUGGGAUUGGAGGAGAGAGGUGUAUGUGUGUUUGUGCAGAGAGAAAGACUCAUCCUUUUGUCCCUCGCCCGGCCAGGGGGAGGGGACAAGCUAACCCUGUAAUUCUGAGAUGAACAAAGAAAUACAGUAGGCUUAGUUGAUCCCUGGAAGUAUCUGACGGAGCUGGUGGCCUCCUAAAAUGUAAUGGGGAAAGAAGUAACUACAGUGGUACCUCGGGUUACAUACGCUUCAGGUUACAGACUCUGCUAACCCAGAAAUAGUACCUUGGGUUAAGAACUUUGCUUCAGGGUGAGAACAGAAAUCGUGCUCUGGCUGCGCGGCAGCAGCAGGAGGCCCCAUUAGCUAAAGUGGUGCUUCAAGUUAAGAACAGUUUCAGGUUAAGAACGGACCUCCGGAACGAAUUAAGUACUUAACCCGAGGUACCACUGUACUGGAGUGUUAAUGCCAUGAUCUGACCCUUACCAUGUAUUUAUGCAUAAAUAAAACCUGCUGCACCGUGAGUGUUGGGGAAGGCCGCUCCCUCUUCAGGCUGAUUCCACCAGGCCUAGGGGGCGGGGCCCAGACUCACCUUCGCCACAGCUUUAAGAAGCCUCACUGAGGCAUUGGGACAUCGCUGCUGCUGCACCGUGAGUGUUGGGGAAGGCCGCUCCCUCUUCAGGCUGAUUCCACCUGGCCUAGGGGCGGGGCCCAGACUCACCUUCGCCACAGCUUUAAGAAGCCUCACUGAGGCAUUGGGACAUCGCUGCUGCUGCACCGUGAGUGUUGGGGAAGGCCGCUCCCUCUUCAGGCUGAUUCCACCUGGCCUAGGGGCGGGGCCCAGACUCACCUCCGCUACAGUUUUAAGGACACUGGUGCUGCUGCAGCAAAUGUUAAAAAUGUUUUUAUAUAUUUUAAAGUAUUUUAAAGGUGUUUUUACUUUUUACUUUAUUGUACCACCGUGAACAGUGGUUUUUAUCUAUGUAUUUUUAUUUUGUUCUGUUUUAUUGUGGUUUGGGGUGGGGAUUGGUUUUGUUUACGUAGAAUUGUUUUCAGUUUGGUUUGGUUUUCUAUUUUGUAAAUGGAGGCUUGUAUGAGGCUUGGGAUUGCUACCGUGGAGGGGCGAGGGAGGUAUGGUGGUGGGGGCAGAUGUUAUAGGCGAAGGGGAUCGAGAUACGGAUAUGCUCGUACCCCUUCCAAUCUGCGCCCCAUCCCGAGGGACGAGGGUAGGGUGAGCAAGGAUUACUCACCUCCGUCACUGGUGUUGUGCAAUGCCAGGUCUAUAGGCAACAAAACCGCCACUCUGCGAGAUUUCUUUACCUCGCAGGGGUUGACCUGGCUUGUGUGACGGAGACCUGGGUGCACGCGAAGGGGCAACAGUUACCUUACGAGAGAUGGCGCCCCGGGUUUCUCCGUCCUCCACCAGUCACGGACUGUGGGCCCCCCCCGAGGGGUGGCAUUAUUAAUCCGGGAAGAUUGUCCUUUCAGGGCUCUACCAUCGCCAUCGAUCCCCGGCAUUGAAUGUGUUGGCCUAGUGUGGGGCUCUGAGGUGAGCUUGGCUGUCUGGCUGGUGUACCGGCCACCUAGCGCACCAGCAGCCACCCUGUCAGGCCUACUGGAGGCGGUGGCCAGCUGGGCCUUGGAGUUCCCUAACCUAUUGGUAUUGGGGGACUUCAACAUCCAUGCUGAUGCCACUCCCUCCUCACAGGCUCUGGACCUGGUGUCUUCCAUGGCAACACUAGGGCUCUCCCAGUUUGUUUCAGGCCCCACACAUCAAGCAGGCCACACGCUGGAUUUGAUCUUUGGCGUAGGUAUAGAUGUGAUCAUGUCUCCUUCAAUUAAGGUGCCAUGGUCUGAGCACUACGCUCUGAAAGCCAGGAUUGACUUUCCACCCCCACCCUGCUUAGGUGGCGAGCCGAUUUGGGCUCGCCCGCAGAGGCUGAUGGACCCUGAUAGAUUCCGUCAAGCCUUGCGGGACCUUGCUCCCCCUGGCGACUCAUUGACUGAGCUUGUUGAGAGCUGGAAUACCCAGCUCCUGGCAGCCAUAGAUGAGAUCGCACCUAAGCGCCCUCUGCGACUCCGCAGAAACCGGGCUCCCUGGUUUACCGAGGAGCUUCGGAAAAUGAAGCGGGACCUCAGACGGCUAGAGCGAGUAUGGCGGGGUGCCCGUGACGGAGCCUCAAGAACAUCUUAUAGGGUUUUUAUGAAAACCUAUGAGAUGGCGGUGAAGGCCGCUAAGAAGUCUUACUUCUCGGCCUCCAUUGCAUCCGCUAGCUCUCGCCCGGCGCAAUUAUUUAGUAUAAUUAGGUCUUUAACGUCCCUUGAAGGACAGCCAAAUUUAAAUAACAAUCUGACACACAGCUGUGAGGCAUUUGCGAGCUUUUUUGCGGAGAAGGUCCUGUUGCUCCGCCAUGACCUCCCUGCCAAUUUGGAUACAAUAAAGGAACUGGAGGCCCCUCGACUGUCCUCUGGUCCAGUAUUGGACCACUUUGAUCGGAUAUCCCCAGCCGAUGUGGACAGACUCCUCCGAGCUGGAAAGCCCACCACCUGUCCUCUUGACCCGUGCCCGUCUUGGCUGAUUAGAGCGUGUCCAGACGAGGUGCGGGCCCCCUGGGAGAUAUCAUCAAUUUGUCCCUUGGCACCGGGAUAUUUCAGGGGAAUUGAAGGAGGCAGUGGUGCGCCCCCUCUUAAAGAAAACAUCAUUAGAUCCCUUAGAUCUAUCCAAUUACCGCCCGGUUUCGAACCUUCCAUUCCUGGGUAAGGUGAUUGAGAGAGCGGUUGCUGAACAGCUUGGUAGGUUUCUGGAUGAAACAUCGGCUCUGGAUCCAUUCCAGUCUGGCUUCCGCGCUGGUCAUGGGACCGAGACGGCUCUGGUCGCCCUAACAGAUGAUCUCCGCAGGCAGCUGGAUCGAGGCGGGUCGGGGCUGCUGAUUCUUCUAGACCUGUCAGCAGCCUUCGACAUGGUUGAUCACGAACUCCUGGACCACCGCCUUGCCGACGUGGGGAUCCAGGGCACAGUCCUUCAAUGGCUGCGCUCGUUUCUCUCCGGUCGGGGACAGAGGGUGGCGCUUGGGGGAAUUGUCAUCCCGCCACUCCUUGGUGUGUGGAGUGCCUCAGGGUGCGAUACUCUCCCGAUGCUUUUAACAUCUUUAUGCGCCCCUCGCCCAGCUUGUCCGGAGUUUUGGGCUGGGUUGCCAUCAGUAUGCCGAUGACACCCAACUCUAUCUGUUGAUGGAUGGCCAUCCUGACUCGGCCCCAGACACACUGACCAGAUGUUUGGAAGCUGUGGCUGGAUGGUUACGCGGAAGCCGGUUGAAGUUAAAUCCUUCGAAGACAGAGGUCCUCUGGCUGGGACGGGACGAUAUGGGAUUGGGGGCAACUCCCAUCUCUUGCGGGGUGCAAUUAGUGCCAGCACCGUCCGUUAAGAGUUUGGGUGUAAUCUUCGAUACCUCCCUCUCUAUGGAGGCGCAGAUUACAGCUAUAACAAAGGCGGCAUUUUUUCAUCUCCGCCAAGCUAAGCAGUUGGCCCCUUAUCUCUCUCGCCCUGACCUAGCCACUGUGAUCCACGCGACGGUCACCUCCAGACUGGAUUAUUGUAACUCGCUCUACGUGGGGCUGCCCUUGAGACUGACCCAGAAACUCCAGCGGGUGCAGAAUGCCGCGGCGAGACUCCUUAUGGGGUCUUCGCUGCGAGAUCACAUUCAUCCGGUACUAUACCAGCUGCACUGGCUCCCGGUGGAGUACAGGAUCAGGUUUAAGGUGCUGGUUUUAACCUUUAAAGCCCUAUACGGCCUAGGACCCUCGUACCUACGGGACCGCCUCUCCUGGUAUGUCCCACAGAGGAACCUACGGUCUGCAAAUAAAAACAUCCUGAAGGUCCCAGGCCUCAGAGAGGUUAGGCUGGCCUCAACUAGAGCCAGGGCUUUCUCGGCUGCGGCUCCAAUCUGGUGGAACGCUCUAUCACAAGAGACUAGGGCCCUGCGGGACCUGACAUCUUUCCGCAAGGCCUGCAAGACAGAGUUGUUCCACCAGGCCUUUGGUCAGGGCCCAGCCUGACUCCCACCUCCGGCAACCUGCACAGAACUUUGCUUAACGGUUGCCAUUAAUUUGAUUUUAAUUAAUUUUUAUAAUGAAAUGUUUUAGAAUGUUGGAUUAUUUGAUUGUUUGAUUAUUUGUUUGUUGUUAGCCGCCCUGAGCCUGGCUUUGGCUGGGGAGGGCGGGAUAUAAAUAAAAUUUAUUAUUAUUAUUAUUAUUAUUUUCAUAGAAGCACCAUCAGUUUCCAGUGAGCUCCAUUCCAAGGAAACGGCACCACUAAAACUUCUCACUGCCCAGAAGUGGAAUGCAUGUGUGUAACAGAAUACACCUGUGAUUGAUCUGAAAAUGGAGACAAUGAAUGUGCAAAAAGAGCAAAACCUUUACCCUGUGUUAUCAUGGCAUAGGACAAGGCUGGGGGCAUCCCAGCAUCCUUUGCAAGGCUAUAAGGCAGCCUCCUGCAAUAUGGUACCUUUCAGAUGUUUUGGACCACAACUCCCAUCAGUCCCAGCCAGCACAAUUACACGGUGCUGGGGCUGAUAUGGGUUGUGGUUCAGGUUGGGGCAGACUGCUAUAAUACAGUUUCUCUCAGAUUGCAUGGAGGUUCUUUAUCAAGGGUGAUCACCUGGGACAUUAGAUGGAUGGGCUGGGAGACCCCCCAGAUGUGCAAGGCUAAUGCUGACUUUGGGUAGGG